UCGACUAGCAUGCGAGUCGAUGUAGCAUACAUGGCGUACUGCUCAGUAACACGUGGACAACCUACCCUUAGGCCUGGGAUAACCCCGGGAAACUGGGAAUAAUACCGGAUAUCUCGCGAAUGCUGGAAUGCGUCGCGAUAGAAAGCUCCGGCGCCUAAGGAUGGGUCUGCGGCCUAUCAGGGUAGUAGUGGGUGUAACGUACCUACUAGCCUACGACGGGUACGGGUUGUGAGAGCAAGAGCCCGGAGAUGGAUUCUGAGACACGAAUCCAGGCCCUACGGGGUGCAGCAGGCGCGAAAACUUUACAAUGCUGGAAACAGCGAUAAGGGGACCUCGAGUGCCAGGAUACAAUCCUGGCUGUCGUAAUGCCUAAAAAGCAUUGCAUAGC
rnacentral:rRNA from 1 species